UCGCUCCAUCUUCUGUUCGAUAUUUUUCCUCCUCUUCUUCACUCUUCUACUACAUUCCGCUUUCUGUGAUUCAAAAAAUCAGAUCGCUCUAAAGCUCUGCUUCCAUGACAAUUUCUACAGUUUUCCUUUCGUUUUCACUCUCUCUCAAAUCUCUGCUUCCGUCGCUCUCGAACGCCUUCUGGCUAUCACAAUUGCUUCACCAGAUCCUCUCAGCGUAAAAUAAGUUUUCAUUAUUGUCCUUGAACCCUAAUCUCUCUCCUCUGUCUCUAAAAUCCAUUUGAAAAAGGUAUAAUGGGUAUUGUUUCUGUCUGCAGGUUGUACUCGGAGAAAUCUAUGAAGGGCCAAUAAGAAAAGGUGGAUUGCGUUUCAAAGUGCCAAAAAAUACAGGGCCUGCCUCUUUGGACGUUUCCAAUCUUCCAAAAAUCGUGUUCAUGGAGCUGCUCGAGUUUGGUUUGUGUCCAACUUUCCGAUUGUAUUUUCUGUCGACAAUGAUCUCAUUGUUUCUAAUGUGGGACAAGGUUUGAAGUUCAAGAGGCCAAGAACUGGGCACCCUCUACAGGCUGCAGUACUACUACUCUUGCUGAGGGCUAUUUCCUUUAGCAUUUAUUUGUGGGAAUGAUUCAUGUGCUUUCACCAAUGAACUUGCAUCCUCGGAUGACAAGAGGACUCAAUGGAGAGCAGUAUACAACUCAAAAUCCAGAGAAUGUGACCCGAAUUGGCUCCAAUCCACUCUUCCAAGUGACAAGAAGAAUUUGAUUAUUGGGAUUUCUUAGCAGUUCUACAGGUGAUACGAUUACAGAGGUACUAUAGGAAGUUACAAGAUUUCAUGCAAACGAUUAAGGUUGAAGUCCCUGGUUUUAUUGAUGCUGGUGUCUGAAAUCAACCCAAGUUAAUGUUAAAACGUUAUCUACCUUUUCGUUAUGAUGAGAAUUGAGAACUUAGAACCCUUUUUUUAUAUGGUUCCCAUUUUUGAAAUACGAAAUUGAAUUACUUUUCUAUACCAUUUUGGUUAAUCAUUCAUUGAGAAUUUGUUAA